rnacentral:rRNA from 1 species
UACGUAGGGGGCAAGCGUUGUCCGGAUUUAUUGGGCGUAAAGAGCGUGUAGGCGGCCGUACAGGUCAGCUGUGAAAACUCGAGGCUCAACCUCGAGACGUCGGUUGAAACCGUUUGGCUAGAGUCCGGAAGAGGAGAGUGGAAUUCCCGGUGUAGCGGUGAAAUGCGCAGAUAUCGGGAAGAACACCCGUGGCGAAGGCGGCUCUCUGGGACGGUACUGACGCUGAGGAGCGAAAGCAUGGGGAGCGAACAGG